rnacentral:rRNA from 1 species
ACGUACACUCCUACGGGAGGCAGCAGUGGGGAAUAUUGGACAAUGGGCGCAAGCCUGAUCCAGCCAUGCCGCGUGAGUGAUGAAGGCCCUAGGGUUGUAAAGCUCUUUCACCGGUGAAGAUAAUGACGGUAACCGGAGAAGAAGCCCCGGCUAACUUCGUGCCAGCAGCCGCGGUAAUACGAAGGGGGCUAGCGUUGUUCGGAUUUACUGGGCGUAAAGCGCACGUAGGCGGACUAUUAAGUCAGGGGUGAAAUCCCGGGGCUCAACCCCGGAACUGCCUUUGAUACUGGUAGUCUUGAGUUCGAGAGAGGUGAGUGGAAUUCCGAGUGUAGAGGUGAAAUUCGUAGAUAUUCGGAGGAACACCAGUGGCGAAGGCGGCUCACUGGCUCGAUACUGACGCUGAGGUGCGGAAGCGUGGGGAGCAAACAGGAUUAGAUACCCUGGUAGUCC